rnacentral:snRNA from 1 species
GUGCCUGCUUUGGCAGCACAUAUACUAAAAUUGGAAUGAUACAGAGAAGAUUAGCAUGGCUUCUGAGCAAGGAUGACACACAAAUUCGUGAAGUGUUCCAUAUUUUU